rnacentral:rRNA from 1 species
GUGAGGGAUAUUGCACAAUGGGCGCAAGCCUGAUGCAGCGACGCCGCGUGGAUGAUGAAGGCUUUCGGGUCGUAAAAUCCUUUUGCGCGUGACGAGAACAAGGACGGUAGCGCGCGAAUAAGUCUCGGCUAACUACGUGCCAGCAGCCGCGGUAAAACGUAGGAGACAAACGUUAUCCGGAGUUACUGGGCGUAAAGGGCGUGCAGGUGGCUUGAUAAGUUCGGCGUGAAAUUUCCCGGCUUAACCGGGGGAUGUCGUCGGAGACUGUCGAGCUAGAGGGUGAUAGAGGCGUGUGGAAUUCCGGGUGUAGUGGUGAAAUGCGUAGAGAUCCGGAGGAACACCAGUGGCGAAGGCGACACGCUGGGUCAUACCUGACACUAAAACGCGACAGCAUGGGGAGCGAACGGGAUUAGAAACCCGGGUAGUCC